rnacentral:lncRNA from 1 species
CACAUUUGUAGCAUACGAUUGGUGGUCGUUCUCCUUCUUUGAAAACUGGUGCUAGUGAUGUUGUCUUUCCAUAAUUGUUGAAUCUCCACUUUUUGAAAUUUCAACUUUUAUUGUCUUGGCCAAGAUUACAACCAAAUUGGUUACCAUUUCUAGUAUGUUGAUUUCCUCCACGUUUGUUUUCAUCGCUUUGAUGACUGCUACCACUAGUAUUAUCAUUUUGCCAGUUGUUAUCUCUUGGUUGGGUUGACUCAUUAUCGCUCUCUAAUAACUGAGCUCUAUCAACAAUAUCUGAAUACAAGCAAAGUUUGUGAGAAA